rnacentral:rRNA from 1 species
CAGUCGCCGCGGUAAGACAGAGGAUGCAAGCGUUAUCCGGAAUGAUUGGGCGUAAAGCGUCUGUAGGUGGCUUUUCAAGUCCGCCGUCAAAUCCCCGGGCUCAACCUGGGAAUGGCGCUUGUGACUGCAAAGCUAGAGUGCGGCAGAGGGGGAUGGAAUUCCGCGUGUAGCAGUGAAAUGCGUAGAUAUGCGGAGGAACACCGAUGGCGAAGGCAAUCCCCUGGGCCUGCACUGACGCUCAUGCACGAAAGCGUGGGGAGCAAACAGGAUUAGAUACCCCUGUAGUCCCUGUCUCUUAUAC